CGUACGGGAGGCAGCAGUGUGGAAUAUUAUGCAAUGGGGCAAAGCGUGACGCAGCCAUGCCGCGUGAAUGAUGAAGGUGUUAGGAUCGUAAAAUAUCUCAGUAGAGGCGAUAAUGACGGUACCACAGAGANNCCCCNUNC
rnacentral:rRNA from 1 species